GCUCCUUUUCCUCAUGAAUUUUCUCUCUUGCUGCUCUUUCAGCAUGAAAAUCAGAACAGUAAACUUCCAUCUGUUAGAGGACAAAAAGAUACAGAAGUGAGUACCUAGAAGACUGUGGAUUCUCUACAGUGCACCUGUUGAUGCGGUCAGUCACAAAAAUGUUCAAUUUGCCAGGACAUGAUGAAAAAAAUUACUACAUCUUUCAUCAUAAAAGAUGCCCUAAGGGAUGGGAAACAGGCCCAAAGGCUCCUCAGAGAACCGAAACAGCAUCAGAAAGUCAUCUGGAUGCAUCAUAAACGAACCAUCCAUGAAAUACAGAAAACCGGGGGUACAGGCAUUAACUGGUAACAUGAUGUACCCCUUCUACUCCUGGGAUGAUGCUCUUCCUACGCAUGGGGCAGCCCUCGCUACAAAACAAGCUCCCGGCCUUAGAGAAAAGCAACUCAUUGUGAAACCGAAGAGUUCGGUCUGCAAAGAAAGGUGGAAAGUCUGCAUGCUGUCUUAGUAAUGAAUCAUACAAAAGACACACAAACUUAAAGAAAAAAAAAAAAAAAACAGUAAAAGGACAGGUACUGCUCA